UAGCAUAUUUGAUUAAUCAUUAAAAUGGUGUAUCACACAUGAAUUGUCUUGAUUCAUUUUACCAGAACACCCUGAGGUGAGCUGUUUCAGAGGUGUCUGACUAAUCUGUAUAUGAUGUCAAAAGCAUCGACAGUUAAAUUCACAAUUAGAUUAAACCCUCAAAUGGAGUCGAUUGCAGGAUUCAUCAUAUGGAAUCAAUCAAAGCAAUAAUUAUUAAAUUAGUGGUGUAUGAUAACCACAAUUAAAUCGACUUACUGACAUAUGCAUAAUUCUUGCCUAACCUUCAAAUCCAAAACUUGGGGAACUUCCUAACCAUCUAAGUUCUUUCAUUAUUCUUUGUAUGAACAUAGUCCAUACGAUUAUGUGUAGCUAAAAUCAUG
rnacentral:lncRNA from 1 species